rnacentral:rRNA from 1 species
UACGUAGGGUGCGAGCGUUAAUCGGAAUUACUGGGCGUAAAGCGUGCGCAGGCGGUCUCGCAAGUCCGAUGUGAAAUCCCCGGGCUCAACCUGGGAAUUGCAUUCGAAACUGCGAGGCUAGGGUACGGAAGAGGGAAGCGGAAUUUCUGGUGUAGCGGUGAAAUGCGUAGAUAUCAGAAGGAACAUCAGUGGCGAAAGCGGCUUCCUGGUCCAGUACCGACGUUCAGGCACGAAAGCGUGGGGAGCAAACAGG